CUACUUCCUCAGAUCAGACGUGGCGACCUGCUGAAUUUAAGCAUAUUACUAAGUGGGGGAAAAUAAACUAACCAGGAUUCCUGCAGUAACAGCAGUGAAACAGGAAGAGCCCAGGCAUGGGAAAGGUGGCAUACAGAAGACCGACUCCCCGCUAUCGCUGAUGGGCCUCAAGUCCUUCUGAUCGAGUCACACCCUGCAGACGUUGUUAGGCCGGUAGAGAGCCUCUGGCACACCGGGUUCAGGUUUUCAUGGACUCAGGUUGCUUAGGAAUGCAUCCCAAAGCGUAUGGUAAACUCCAUCUAAGGCUAAAUACGGGCGCAAGACGGAGAGCUAACAAGUACCAUAAGGGAAAGUUGAAAAAGAACUUUGAAGAGAGAGUUCAAGACAGCGUGACACCAUUGAGAGGUAAACGGGUGGGUCCGUGCAGUCCGCCCGCAGGAUUCAACACAGCAGGCAGAUCGGUCGCCUGGAACGGUGGAUACCCUUGCAGGACUUUCGCCCAGGCAGACCCGUCCCCGGAGACGCAUUUCCUCUGUGAGUGGUGCACUGAGACCAGCUGGGAAGGCCCCAGGUGGCAGGUGGCUCUUUGCUCCGGCAGAAAGUGUUACAGCCCCCUGACAGCAGUUUUGCUGUGUCCACGGGCCGAUGGAGAUUGACCGCUGCCGUGCUCUUUUCUGGCAACCGUCCUGGCCCCUCUUGGGGGUCAACGGGGCAGCGACGAAAGACAGGGCUCCCAAUAUGACUGUGGCAGACUGCCCUCAGUGCACCCUGACCACGUUGUGUCGCUGGGCAGGGAGGCCCAUAAAGGGCGCCAGGGGUCUGAGGUGAUGUUGGUUAACCACCUCACCUGUCUUGAGACACUGGCCAAUGAGUCUUAACACAUGUGCGAGUCGGAGGGCCAAAUGAAACCCUGUGGUGCAAAGAAGCUGAGGGCCGGCGCGUGUCGAUUGCGGUGGGAUCCCGUCGCAGUGGGCGCCCCACCGACCGGUCUCUCCUGCUCUGUCAGGGAGAUGGAGCAUCAGCGUGUGUGAUAGGACCCGAAAGAUGGUGAACUAGGCCUGGUGGAGGUACAUAGCGGUCCUGAUGUGUAAAUCGGUCACCCGACCUGGGUAUAGGGUCGAAAGACUAUUCGAACCAUCUAGUAGCUGGUUCCCUCCAGAGUUUCCCUCAGGAUAGCUGGCGCAUGGAAACCCCAGUUUUAGUCUGGUAAAGCGAAUGAUUAGAGGUCUUGGGGCCAAAAUGAUCUCACCCUAUUCUCAAACUUUAAAUGGGUAAGAAGCCUGGCAUGCUAGCUUGGAGCCAGGCAUUGAAUGUAGGUGGCCAGUGGCAACUUUUAUUAAGCAAGAACUGGCGCUGCUAGAUGAACAAAUGCUGGGUUGAGGCGCCUGAUGCUGCAUCAGACCCCAGAAAAGGUGUUGGUUGAUAUAGACAGCAGGACGGUGGCCAUGGAAGUCGGAAUAUGCUAAGGAGCCCGCAGAGAGUUCUCUUUUCUUUGUCAAGGGCAAGGCACCCUGUAAUGGGUUUGCCCUGAGAGAGGGGCCUAAGCCUUGGAAAGUGUUGCGGUUCCUGCAGCGUACCUCUCGCUGGUCCUUGAAAAAUCGGGGGGAGAUGGUGUAGAUCUUGCGCCGGCCCGUACCCAUAUCCGCAGCAGGUCUCCAAGGUGAAACAGCCUCUGGCAUGCCGGGAGGUACCCAUAUCUGCAGCAGGUCUCCAAGGUGACCAGCCUCUGGCAUGUUGGAACAAUGUAGGUAAGGGAAGUUGACAAGUCAGAUCCGUAACUUUGGGAUAAGAAUUGGCUCUAAGGGCUGGGUCGGUCAGGUUGGGGCACGAAGCGGGGCUGGGCGCAGGCCACGGCUGGACAAGGCAUCUCACCCUCCCUGCCCCCGGGGGUGGUGCCGAGUCUGGAUGUAAGCCGGGGCCCUGCCUGUGGAUCGCCCCAGCUGCGGUGGUCCCCUCUAUCCGUUCCCUCCGGGGUUCGGGGCCGAUGGUCUGCCUCGACUGACGCCUAGCAGCUGACUUGGAACUGGUGUGGACCAGGGCAAUCUGACUGUUUAAUUAAAACAGCAUUGCGAAGGCCUGCAGUGGGUGUUGACGCAAUGUGAUUUCUGCCCAGUGCUCUGAAUGUCAAAGUGAAGAAAUUCAAUGAAGCGUGGGUAAACGGCAGGAGUAACUAUGACUCUCUUAAGGAAGUCAAAUGCCUUGACAUCUAAUUAGUGAUGCGCAUGAACGGAUGAACGAGAUUCCCACUGUUCCUACCGAUUAUCUAGCGAAACCACAGCCAAGGGAACGGGCUUGGCAGAAUCUGAGGGGAAAUAAGACCCAGUUGUGCUUGCCUCUAGUCUGGCACUGUGAAGGGACAUGCAAGGUGUAGGAUAAGUGGGAGGCCCUCGGGCCGCCGGUGAAAUAUCACUACUCUUAUCAUUUAUUCACUUACCUGGUGAGGUGGGGGCCAAGCCCUGUGAGGCUCUCACUUCUGGCUCCAACCACCUGGCGCUCAUUAUCCGCUGUGGGAACAGUGGCAGUUGGGGUGUUUGACUGCGGCGGUACACAUGUCAAACAAUAACGCAGGUGUCCUAAGGCGAGCUAAGGGAGGACAGAAACCUCCCGCGGAGCAGAAGGGCAAAAGCUCACUUGAUCUCAUUUUUUCAGUAUGAAUACAGGCCGUGAAAGUGGGGCCUCAUGGUCCUUCUCACUUUUUGGGUUUCAAGCAGGAGGUGUCAGAAAAGUUACCACAGGGAUAAGUGGCUUGUGUCGUUCAAGCGUUCAUAGUGACGUCUCUUUUUGAUCCUUCGAUGUUGGCACUUCCUCUUCUUUGCGAAGCAGAAUUCACCAAGCACUGGAUUGGUCACCCACUAAUAGGGAACGUGAGGUGGGUUUAGACCGUUGUGAGACAGGUUCAUUUUACUCUUCUGAUGAUGUGUUGUUGCAAUGGUAAUCCUGAUCAGUGCAAGAGGAACUGCAGGUUCAGACAUUUGGUGUUUGUGCUUGGCUGAGGAGCCAAUGGGGCAAAGCUACCAUCUGUUCGAUUAUGACUGAACAUCUCUAAGUCAGAAUCCCCCUAAACCGUAACGAUACCGCAUUGCUGUCAAGCCUUGGUUGGCCUAGGAUAGCUGGCCUCUGGGCCGGUGCGUAGAGCCGCUCGCCUCAGGACUUGAGUGUGUGGACAGAAGGG
rnacentral:rRNA from 1 species